AACGAACGCUGGCGGCAUGCCUAACACAUGCAAGUCGAACGAGACCUUCGGGUCUAGUGGCGCACGGGUGCGUAACGCGUGGGAACCUGCCCUUAGGUUCGGAAUAACUCCCCGAAAGGGGUGCUAAUACCGGAUAAUGUCUUCGGACCAAAGAUUUAUCGCCUUUGGAUGGGCCCGCGUUGGAUUAGCUAGUUGGUAGGGUAAAAGCCUACCAAGGCGACGAUCCAUAGCUGGUCUGAGAGGAUGAUCAGCCACACUGGGACUGAGACACGGCCCAGACUCCUACGGGAAGCAGCAGUGGGGAAUAUUGGACAAUGGGCGAAAGCCUGAUCCAGCAAUGCCGCGUGAGUGAUGAAGGCCUUAGGGUUGUAAAGCUCUUUUACCCGGGAUGAUAAUGACAGUACCGGGAGAAUAAGCUCCGGCUAAUUCCGUG
rnacentral:rRNA from 1 species